GUUUUACUACUAAGCAAGAGCUUGGUGUCCUCUCCCUUUACGAACAAGGUAAAAACGACUAAACAAGGACCUUACUAUUGGACAUUGGUUACAUUAUUAUGGUUUGGUCUUGCUCUCUGCUUACGUGUGAUAUGCUAUAUAUUAUUCAGCUUACAUAGGCAAUCGAUAAUUUUCUGGAAAGCGAUAGGGGGUGUAUGCCCACCUGAGCAACUGAUAUCCACUUUUGCUCACUUCGCCUCUGCAUCAGUUAUCGUGUUCACAGAUGCUGUUCUUUAUCAGAAAGCGAACAUAUUCUCGCAUACUUUGUUUCAGAAGUCAGAAUAGUUAAUAUGUACAGUAGUAAACUUUGAAUUACUCAAAGCUUAAUAUGGGAUGGAAUUUAGUUAUUAGUGAUAUGAAAUAUUUCACUCUCACCUAAUUUUUCGUGUGAAAUUUGCCCAAACCCAAAUUCUUCUCCCAGCUCUUCAGAGAGUAUAUUUCUUCUCUUCCAUUCCUAUUUGUAAUAUCAUCAUAUACGAUGAAGAAAUUUUGUUUAUUCACCUGUGUUGCCAGUGUCAAGGCUUUAACGUCAAUGGCGAAUUAUUUUUCUCUAAGUAACUAGCUGUGGGGUUGGUGUACAGUACAAUGAUGUAGUUGUGGUUGAGAUAAGAUAACAAAGGUCACCGGGAAGAAAAGUAAUGUCCUGGGUAAAAACCGUAGUUAACGCCCUACUUUUUAUGUCUUAAUCACUAUCUUUAGGGAGUUUAGGGUCAAACAAUUAGUUGCCUUAAAUGUAGUCUGAGGACCUAGCGUUGUAUCCAGUUCACUUUGGUUGAGGAAGCAACAGCACAAGUAUGCUCACCACUUGCGCGAAUGUUCCAUCAAGUUGUAUUGCUUGCUAUACCAUUACUUUCGUCUUUAGAAACAGAAUUAUUCCAAAAGAGGAUACUGCUUAGGCCGUAGUGUAAAUCACUCUUGAGGAUAGUCAUAUUUUUGUAUUAUCGUAGAACAGUACUGAAUUUCUAAAAAAAGACAUUUUAAGCAACUUGUGAAUCCUGAUUUUGAACCAAGGUUCCCUAGAGCCCCAGUGAUGGCAACAUAGUCAGAACCUAUCAGACCUAGUUAAGCUGCAGAAUGUUUUGUGUCUCCUGGUGAUGAUUUUUAUUUACCUAAAUCAUCGCCAUUGCAUCAUUGGUUUGAUCGUUUCCUCACCGUUCUGUUUCACCGCUGUUGGCAGGAAAUCGAAGGGGGAGAGGUGUUGAACCUAAUUUCCUUGAUAGCAGUUAUAUACCUUACAUAGUGGAGAAAACAUUCGCUCAUCAGUGGUGGCAGUAUUUGGACGCAUCAUCACUCCUGGGCAGAUGCUGUGUGUGCGUGUGUGUGCCUUUACCUUCUUCUUAUUCCAUAGCUUGUGCUUUAGCUGUGAAAUGUAAUGAAUCUACAAGUACCUAGAACUUGGUGUCAGGUUGCAUAAAGGGUCCUGAGGCCAUCCCGCCCAACCUGGGCAGUCUGGUCUCUGACUCCUAUACAUAGUAUCAAACCUGUCCUGCUUGUACCCUCUGAUCCUCUCUCCAGACCAGAAGCGCUGGAGAAGCAGAGAUCAUUUACAUUGUACUAUUAUUAAAACUGUACUGUUGGAACUUCAUAUAAGUUUGGGAAGUGUUUUUGUCAAUAUACCAUAAGAUUUGCAAAGGUACUUCAUUAUAUUAUAUUCCAA
rnacentral:lncRNA from 1 species